rnacentral:rRNA from 1 species
UACGUAGGCAGCAAGCGUUGUUCGGAGUUACUGGGCGUAAAGAGUGCGUAGGCGGUGGCCUAAGUUCGGUGUGAAAUCUCCCGGCUUAACUGGGAGGGUGCGCCGAAGACUGGGUUGCUCUGAGUGUGGGAAAGGCAAGCGGAAUUCCUGGUGUAGCGGUGAAAUGCGUAGAUAUCAGGAGGAACACCGGCGGUGUAGACGGCUUGCUAGACCAUCACUGACGCUGAGGCACGAAAGCGUGGGUAGCAAACAGG